GAGUUUGAUCGUGGCUCAGGAUAAACGCUGGCGGCGCGCCUAAUGCAUGCAAGUCGAACGGUCUAGCUCGCAAGGGCUAGGUAGUGGCAAACGGGUGAGUAACACGUGGGGAUCUGCCCAGUAGUGGGGAACAACUCCGAGAAAUCGGAGCUAAUACCGCAUACGGUCUGUGUCGAAGGACACGAGACUAAAGCUCGCAAGGGCGCUAUUGGAGGAACCUGCGGCUGAUUAGCUAGUUGGUGGGGUAAAGGCCUACCAAGGCGAUGAUCAGUAGCUGGUCUGAGAGGAUGGACAGCCACACUGGGACUGAGAUACGGCCCAGACUCCUACGGGAGGCAGCAGCAAGGAAUUUCGUCAAUGGGGAAACCCUGAACGAGCAACGCCGCGUGGGCGAAGAAGUCCUUU
rnacentral:rRNA from 1 species